GCCUCGGUAGCUCAGUGGUUAGAGCACCUUCCAUGACAUGGGUUCGAAUCCCACUCGGAGCA
rnacentral:tRNA from 1 species